GGGGUGGGCAGAGGUGCAGUCAGUUUAAGAUGAACCUGUGUUGGAUGUAGGAAGAAUUGGAAGGGAAGGGGUUUAGAAGCAGAGAUUCCAGUUUGCAAGUUGUGGUAAACUCUGGGGGUGAGGCGUGGGGAUAAUGCCCCUGAAUUUACGUGAUGAUGAUAACAAAGAGGGGGCAUUUUAUCAAGAGAGUCGUACAUGGCACUUCCUGUCCUUUCUGGGUUUAAGUUCACAGCAGGUGACCGAUCCUUCCAACAGCGCUUGAAGAGGCACACGGGCCAGUUUCUGACUUCCAUCUCGAGCGCAGAGGGUGCUAUGUGAUACGAGAGUUUCUCUGGAGAAAUCAUCACGAUCUCCUUAUUUCUGUCACCCCUCGCACUGUUUUAAAGCGUUUGCAAUAACAGUGAUUUCAUGGACUCCUCACCUCCUCCCCAUGAGGUAGGUGGAGCAGGCUUUCUUAUCACCUUGUGCAGCUGAAGAGACCGGGGCUCCAUCUGAGAGGUGACAUGACUCAACACAGGUCGCAUGGCUCAUAAGCAGCUGAACUGUAGCUGGAAUCCACGUCUCCUGACAAAUGGAAAUAGUGGAGAACAACGCGAUCUGCAGCCUAGAGACCCCUGCACCCCACACAGUCUCUCUGCACGUCGAAACCUGGGCCCGGCGGUUGGAAAGGCAACCCAGAGUAAAGGGCCAAUUCCAGCAGACGCCCCACAAGUAGGGUGAGAGUUGAAAGGUCGAAAGGGCGCUGCUCCCGCCUGCGAGUCCAGCCUCAGCUCUGCACUGAUAUCUGAGAACACCUUGAACCACUCAAGGUGCACCUCCAUUUCCUCAUCUGCAGCAGGAAGCCUGGAUUAGAUAAUGUCUCAGCCGCCUUCCUGAUAACCUGAAAGGAACUUGCUCCAGGACAACGGUGACACAAUAUGUACGGGCGGUCUCUAAAACCUUUUUCUAUGAAAAAUUUCAAACAAAUUUUAAACCCAACAAAACAAUAUAACGAGCCCGCACAGGUGCUUCGUGGACCUCGGCAAUGGUCUGGUUUUAUCCCCACCGCCCCCCGCACUGGGGGCUUAUCCGUGGAGUUCUUUUUUAGGUGGACGUCACACGCAUUGGGAGGCAGAAAUCUUAACUGUGUGAUACUGACAAAUGGAUUUGCCCGUGUAAACUGUACAUCUAUCACUUUCCUAGAAAGUUCUCUCAUGUCUGUCAAAGACAAAUGUAUGGCUGACCUUAUUAAACAAUAAA